rnacentral:tRNA from 1 species
GCGCCCGUAGCUCAGCUGGAUAGAGCACCAGACUACGAAUCUGGGGGUCGGGAGUUCGAAUCUCUCCGGGCGCG